ACUGCUCAGCUGGUAGAGCAUGAGACUCUUAAUCUCAGGAUUGUGGUUUUGAGUCCCAUGUUAGGCA